UUCACACCCCAGCCCCUUUGGGCGCCCCUGGGCAGCCCAGGAGCAGCUGUCAGUCACUGACACACCGGGAGCACUGUCAACACCACGCCCUGGAGUCCCCAGCCCAGCCUCAUCCAGGUUGGCACACUGGAUGUCCCACCUAGAGGCUGGGGGGUGGCUGCAGGGGGACCGAACAGGUAAAACGAGCACCAUGCGGCCUUCAUGUUGUCAUGACCCCCCCACCAUGUGGACACACGGAAGCUGGAAUUGCACAGGACUCAAGGCAGGAGAGGAUGUCCAAAAGCUUUAAUCGGGAAAAUGACAUUACUGAAUUUAUUGGAAAAGACAGCUGAAUAAAACACCUGUUGAUUCCUGGAACAGCAAAAGACAGUGAAGCCUACCAGAGUUACAGAACCACAGCCAGUUAAGUCAGCGCAAACAGCUUAAUUCAGAGGUGAAAUGAAAAUAAAUGUACAAAUGAAAAAGAAAUAAGACAUCUUCUGCACAGUAAUGUAAAGCAUAAAAAGCACAUAAUUUUUAAUAGAACUUUAUGAUGCCUUUUUCUGCUGACUACACAAUCUGUUCAAAGUAUCCAUGAAAGUAAAUUACAAACUGCUGGCUAUUUUUCCAACUA